UACGUAGGGUGCGAGCGUUGUCCGGAAUUAUUGGGCGUAAAGGGCUCGUAGGCGGUCUGUUGCGUCAGGAGUGAAAAACUCGGGGCUUAACCCCCGAGCCUGCUUCUGAUACGGGCAGACUAGAGGUAUGCAGGGGAGAACGGAAUUCCUGGUGUAGCGGUGAAAUGCGCAGAUAUCAGGAAGAACACCCGUGGCGAAGGCGGCUUUCUGGGACGGUACUGACGCUGAGACGCGAAAGCGUGGGGAGCAAACAGG
rnacentral:rRNA from 1 species